rnacentral:rRNA from 1 species
AGGACGAACGCUGGCGGCGUGCCUAACACAUGCAAGUCGAACGGGAAAGGGGAGCAAUCCCUGAGUAUAGUGGCGACCGGGUGAGUAACACGUGACUACCUGCCCUUGAGUGGGGGAUAACCUCGGGAAACCGAGGCUAAUACCGCAUAAUAUCGCAAGAUCAAAGGAGCAAUCCGCUUUUGGAGGGGUCGCGGCUGAUUAGCUAGUUGGUGAGGUAAUGGCUCACCAAGGCGAAGAUCGGUA